rnacentral:rRNA from 1 species
UGAGGAAUAUUGGUCAAUGGGCGCGAGCCUGAACCAGCCAAGUAGCGUGAAGGAUGAAGGUCCUACGGAUUGUAAACUUCUUUUAUAAAGGAAUAAAGUCGGGUAUGUAUACCCGUUUGCAUGUACUUUAUGAAUAAGGAUCGGCUAACUCCGUGCCAGCAGCCGCGGUAAUACGGAGGAUCCGAGCGUUAUCCGGAUUUAUUGGGUUUAAAGGGAGCGUAGAUGGAUGUUUAAGUCAGUUGUGAAAGUUUGCGGCUCAACCGUAAAAUUGCAGUUGAUACUGGAUAUCUUGAGUGCAGUUGAGGCAGGCGGAAUUCGUGGUGUAGCGGUGAAAUGCUUAGAUAUCACGAAGAACUCCGAUUGCGAAGGCAGCCUGCUAAGCUGCAACUGACAUUGAGGCUCGAAAGUGUGGGUAUCAAACAGGAUUAGAUACCCUGGUAGUCCACACGGUAAACGAUGAAUACUCGCUGUUUGCGAUAUACUGCAAGCGGCCAAGCGAAAGCGUUAAGUAUUCCACCUGGGGAGUACGCCGGCAACGGUGAAACUCAAAGGAAUUGACGGGGGCCCGCACAAGCGGAGGAACAUGUGGUUUAAUUCGAUGAUACGCGAGGAACCUUACCCGGGCUUAAAUUGCAGAUGAAUUACGGUGAAAGCCGUAAGCCGCAAGGCAUCUGUGAAGGUGCUGCAUGGUUGUCGUCAGCUCGUGCCGUGAGGUGUCGGCUUAAGUGCCAUAACGAGCGCAACCCUUGUUGUCAGUUACUAACAGGUUCCGCUGAGGACUCUGACAAGACUGCCAUCGUAAGAUGUGAGGAAGGUGGGGAUGACGUCAAAUCAGCACGGCCCUUACGUCCGGGGCUACACACGUGUUACAAUGGGGGGUACAGAGGGCCGCUACCACGCGAGUGGAUGCCAAUCCCCAAAACCUCUCUCAGUUCGGACUGGAGUCUGCAACCCGACUCCACGAAGCUGGAUUCGCUAGUAAUCGCGCAUCAGCCACGGCGCGGUGAAUACGUUCCC